UCGAUGAACCUAGGGGAUGCUUGCACGGCUAAUCGAUGGUAGCACGAAUUAGCUCUGAUGCGAGUGUGAACGGGGAGUAAUGUAUAUAAAGUGCCCAUAUCGGGGAAUACUACGUGAUAGCGUAGAUAAUACUGCAUACCCCGUACGGAGAAAGCAGGGGAUUUCAAGACUCUGCAAUAUAGGAGCGGCCGAUAUAUGAUUAGCUAGUUGGUGGAGUAACUGCUCACCACGGCGAUGAUCCGUAGAUGGUUGAGAGGAUGACCAGCCACACUGGUAAUGCGACACGGACCAUACUCCUACGGGCGGCAGCAGUGGGUAAUUUUCGACAAUGGGGGAUACCAUGAUCCAGCCAUCCCGGAUGUGUGAUGAAGUCCUUCUGGUAGUAAUGCACUUUUGGCAAGAAAGAAACGUUAUGGGUUAAUGCCCCGAGAAACUGACUGUACAUGCAGAAUAAGCACCGGAUAUAUACGUCCCCGCAGCCGCUGUAAUAUGUAGGGCGCAAGCUUUAAUGGGAAUUACUGGGUGUAAAGCGUGCGCGGGCGGUUUGGAAUGAAAGAUGUGAAAUCCCAGAUCUUAACUUGGGAAUCGCAUUUUUAACUACCGGGCUAGAGCGGGUCAGAGGGAGGUGGAAUUCCGCGUGUAGCAGUGAAAUGUGUAGAUAUGGGGAGGAACCCCGAUGGAGAAGGCAGCUUCCUUGGAUAACAGUCACGGUCAUGCAAGAAAGCGUGGGGAGCAAACAGGAUUAGAUCCCGUGGUAGUCCACGCCUAAACGAUGUCAAAUAGCUGUGGGGCUUCGGCCCUUGUAGCGCAGUUAAACGCCGUGAACUUACCGCCUGAAGUACGUCACUGC
rnacentral:rRNA from 1 species